UACGUAGGGACCGAGCGUUGUCCGGAAUCAUUGGGCGUAAAGAGCGUGUAGGCGGCCACUUAAGUCCUGCGUGAAAUCUUGCGGCUCAACCGCAAGCGGUCGUGGGAAACUGGGUGGCUAGAGUGCGGGAGAGGAGAGUGGAACUGCGAGUGUAGAGGUGAAAUUCGUAGAUAUUCGCAAGAACACCAGUGGCGAAGGCGGCUCACUGGCCCGGAACUGACGCUGAGGUGCGAAAGCGUGGGGAGCAAACAGG
rnacentral:rRNA from 1 species